AGCGGUCAAAAUUUUAUGCUGUGCGAGCAAGGAGAGGCUCCGCAUACGUCAAAACGAGUGUGUAUAAAUUUUCAUCCCACAAAACGCAACAUUUUUACAUUCUGCAAGCAUAUUAUUUUUAAUUUGCAAUGUGCAAACUUUUGUGUCUUUAUCCGGUCUAUUCCGUACGCGUGUGUUCUUUUCAAGCGCAGGGUUAAAUUUACAAUCGAGUAAAAGGUGUGUAAUUGAGCCCAAAUUGCCCAGUACCCGUUGAAAGUGAGAGUUCGAUUUCAAGAAUUCGGAUGACGAUUGAAUCGUGUACUUUUGACUGCUUUUGCUAAAAAGUAGGCUUCCCUGCCGCAGAGCAGAAAGCAAGAAGAACGAACAUGUCGGAAAUGAAACGUGUGACACUGACAACGAUUGGUGAUGUGGUGAAGAAGAGUCCUUUUGGCGGCAGCGGGUUCGACCAAAACACGGACGAUUUCUUUUCCGGUGCCUUGGCAGGAGGCGUCGGGGCUGGCCCUAGUUCGAAAAACGGUAGUGGAACUAAGCCACGGAAAACGAUCCGCCUUGAGCUGGAACUGUUCGAACCAACGGCAAAGAGUUUCCCCGAGUUCAACUAUUCGAACCUCGCGCGUGAAGAGCAGAAACGGCAGCGCAAGCUUGAGAAAAAGGCCACAACGAACGGAUUUCUGUCGGAACAGGACGAUAACGACGAUGUAGCGCGAAUCGCCCGGGAGUUGGAGAAAAAAUACGGAUCCGGUACGGCGUACAGCAGUUCCGGCAAAUUUGCCCGUCCCUCGAAGUUGGAUUACUGCGAUCGGGGAGCAGGUUACGACGAAGAGGAUUCUUUCAUCGACAACACCGAAGCGUACGAUGAACUGAUCCCGCAGGAGGUAGAAACGGUGGGCGGAGGUUUCUACAUAAACUCAGGACAACUAGAAUUCAAAACGCUGUCGAACUUCGAACGGCCGGAAGAUGCGAUACGAAUGCCGAAACCGAAAAAGCGACUUCUAUCGUCAUCCAGUGACAGUAGCGGCCCAGAGGUCAAAGUGGCUCCGAAAACGAAAAAGAAGGACGAACGGGGGAGCGGGACGAGUGGAGCCGAGAGUGCAAGCAAAAGUGGUAAAGUAGGUCGCAAACGGUUGAACGGCCAUGUCACGAAAAAAGCAAAGGUUGCUGGUGAAAAGCCGAACCGAAAAGUGGCUACGCACAAGGAAGGUAAGAAAAAGAAGGACACGAAAGAAUCUACUACCGUGGGGCCAGGAGCGGGAACAGAUUUGAAAGUAGUUAAAACAACGACAGUGAAGGAUAUGCUGCGGGCGAAGAGGGACAGCUUGCGGAAAAUGGAACAGGAGAAGAAAGGUAAAAGUAGCGGGUCGGUUUCAAGUUCCGAAGCGGAAGAAGUUGGCGAAGGCGACGAUGGAGAGGAUGAUGGCGAUGAUACGGACCAAAGUAGUGAUGCGAGUGAUAGCGAUUCCAGCGGUAGUGGAUCGGAUGAUUCUGAUAGCGACACUACAUCCGAAACUGACCAGGGAGCGAAACUGAUUAGCGAGGAAGAAGCCAAAAAACGGGAUGAAAUUAAGCUUCCGGAUAACCUGCCGGAUCAUCUGUUGCAAGAUUUGAACAGUUUGAAGGAUAUUGCAAAAAACACAAAGGGCAGGUUGAAUUUCUUUGACGCCACGGUUGCUGAUCUACUGCUGCAAAUCGAUGUUAGCUCUCGGAUGUGCGGAGGAAGCGCUCGAAAUUCUGUAUAUAAACAUCUCGAAAGCCAUCUACGCGUCAGCAGGCAGACGCUUAUGGUUAAGAUAAAAAAGAUUCGCAUACGAAAGGAAGAUAAUAAAGUCAAAAAAGCUAUCGGAAUCCUGGAAGAUGCCGUAACGGAAAUGAUGCCCAAGUUAAUAGCAAACUAUGAAGCAGAAAAACAAAAAGCACAUGACCUUCGUACCGCACAUUCGGCAUCUAGCGAUACUGGAGAAAAGCCUGAGAUCAAACAUCCAAAGAAAAAGUUUCCAUGGAAUGAUCAUCUUCGAAGUUUGUUAAACGAUGUAGUCACCAUAAGAAAGAAAUCCUUCCAUAUUCUGCGACCAAGGAAAGAAACGGAAGAGGGAUAUGUUCAAAGCUACCUGGCAAAACAAGUGGUUUCACUCUGGCCCAGCGGAUGGAUAAGGUAUGAGGAUCUUCAAAAAGAACUCGAUCGACGAAAAAAGACCGAGAUAAAAGCAACCAGCAAGGAAGUCAAGAAGACUGUUAGUCUGCCUACUUCAACGACACCGGUUCCUACGCAAACAGUCAUUGUCAAUGGCCCCAGUAGCAAACCGGAAACAGUAUUAUCAUUCACUGCCAAACCUAGCAAAUCCGAGGAGAAAAAGAUUGUACGGCCUCCACUGUGUUCGCCCGUGGCAAGUACCAGUAUGUCUCAACCGUCACCUAGUACUUCUCCUGCUGGUCUGAAGAGAACUUCCGAUCAUAGUAUAAUAAACAUCAUUAGCUCGCCACCAAGCAAAAGUUCCUCGCAUUCCAGUCAUUUGUUGCCACAUCAGCAGCAGCAACAGCAACAACCGCCACGACCUCAAUCACAGCCACCUCGACCAACUUCCAAUUUCGACGAGGAUCUUAUACAGACUCAUGUGAUCAACCUUGAAACAGGUCACAAUGCAGUAAAAAACUCACCACAUACCUCCACGGCAGCCAUGGAUUUCGUUCCGAAGGAUCUCAGGGUAAAUUCGCCGGCCCUGUCCUCAGCCUCUUCCGCCUCUUCUUCCCGCCGACAAUCAUCCUACCAAGAUCCACCAAACGCACACACAACCCCGGUCCUCGCGCCUACUAGCUCGAAUCGCAAAAGUCGAGAUGAGGACAGCGAUAGUAGCAUCGAAAUCAUUGGAGAAUAUAACGUAGCAGAUAAGUACACUCCCUCCAUGGAGAAGAAAGUUGAUCCUCUGAACUUAGCGAUGCCUGCUCUCAAUAAGGACAAGUAUAAGAAAAGUGGUAACUCGAGUAAAACUAACAGUCGGCAAGGGAGCGGUAGUGGAAGUUCGCCCGGAAUGGGAACAUCCACAAUGAAUAUCAACAACAACCUGGAUAAGAAAAAAUACGGUGCACCUACUGCUACCACCACCGUAGGAGGAUUCGUUCUACCAUCCAUGGCUGGAUUGAUGCAGGAUUUAAAGUCCAGUACCAGUAUCCCACCUAAAAUGGUGUCCAUACCAGGCGACUUGGAUGUUAUUCGGAUUAUGAAAGAACUGCAAGAAUUACAGGCCAUUCAAAUGAAUUCCAUGAACAAAACCGCUGGGAGAACCGAAAGCCCCAAACCGGCGCACUCUUUCUCCACUUCGACAACAAAGAAGCCAGAGACGUCCAACCAUCAAAAUCAGUCCAGACCGACUGCAUCACAGCACCCACAGCAAUCUCAUCACAGUUCCUCGACCAGCGCACUCAAUCCAAACGUCUUUGAUGAGGAUUUCCUGUUGGCAAAUUACUUUUACGACAGUGCCAAAAAAGGAACCAAUCCAUAGUCAGAUCAGUGAAAGCUGUGAAAGAUACAAAAAAAACCAGAGCUACAAGACUGCGCGUGCAUGCGAGACGGUCAGCCCACUACCUUUAUUUUGCCAUAUCUACCUAUUGACCAGUGAUGGUUGCUGUUGUACAUGUGAUGUUUUUUCUUUUCAUUUUUGGUUCGCAAUAAGAAGUGCCAGAUGUAAAUAUGAACGGAUCCAGCGGAGCCCAUGCAAAAGUGUUAAAUCCAGCAUCAGCAGCUCUGAAGAAAGCGGCCCAGCAAUAAUGAAAAGGACAGAUCGCAUAAAAACAUACACAUCUAAGAUGUUUGUUCAUAUUACAUUGUUUGUGUGCGAAAGAAACAUAGUUCUAAAAUGAAGUCGAUAGUUGUACAUUGCUUAGUAAGUGAAAGUAGUAGAUAUAACUAAAUUAACCAAAUUAGGUAUUAGACGGUGUAACACGGUGAGCUAGGUCUGUUGGAGUGUGUUGAACACUAGACGGAAUGAUAUUUGUGUUUGGGGCAGCAAAAUUAUCGUUUGUUUUUUUGGUUCACAUGGAGCCUUUGUUUAUAUGUUAUAAUUAUGUUUUCUUUAAUUUAAUCGUUUCAUUUUACUUCUCUUUGUUGGAUAAUUUUCGGCAUAAUGUCGGUCGCAGGUAAUUUUCAAUCCGAUCAACCCAAAUUUUUUCAGAAUUGAAUGUAUAUCAGCUGUAUCGUUUAAGUUGUAGAUACUUAAGAAAGAGA